rnacentral:rRNA from 1 species
UACGAACCGUACAAACGUUAUUCGGAAUCACUGGGCUUAAAGGGUGCGUAGGCGGCCACGUAAGUGAGAUGUGAAAUCCCUCGGCUCAACCGAGGAAGUGCAUUUCAUACUGCAUGGCUUGAGGGAGACAGGGGUAAGCGGAACUGAUGGUGGAGCGGUGAAAUGCGUUGAUAUCAUCAGGAACACCGGUGGCGAAAGCGGCUUACUGGGUCUCUUCUGACGCUGAGGUGCGAAAGCGUGGGGAGCAAACAGG